rnacentral:rRNA from 1 species
GACGAACGCUGGCGGCGUGCCUAAUACAUGCAAGUCGAACGCAGUGGGGACGGGUGAGUAACACGUGGGUAACCUCCAAUCAGAGGGGAUAACACUUGGCAACAGGUGCUAAACCGCUACUGAUUGAUGGACCCGCGGUGCAUUAGCCAGUUGGUGAGGUAACGGCUCACCAAGGCCACGAUGCAUAGCCGACCUGAGAGGGUGACCGGCCACACUGGGACUGAGACACGGCCCAGACUCCUACGGGAGGCAGCAGUGGGGAAUAUUGGGCAAUGGGCGAAAGUCUGACCGAGCAACGCCGCGUGAGUGAAGAAGGCUUUCGGAUUGUAAAGCUCUGUUGUCAGAGAAGCGGUAUCUAACCAGAAAGCCACGGCUAACUACGUGCCAGCAGCCGCGGUAAUUC